ensembl:lncRNA
CAAAGGUGCACAAGGGGAGAAUCCGCUGAAUAGCUGGAAAAAAAGGUGGGCUGGACGAUGGGGCUGAAUAAUCAGGAGCAAAGGUCUUUGAGAGAGUAAAGCAAGCCCUGCAGUACGGGCAUACCAGAGUUCCAGAAGCAACCAGAAGUUUUGGUGGCUCUGCAUCCGGACAUCUCUCUGCAGGGAACUUUGGGGAUUGCAACAGUCACGAACCUCGUGCCCAAAAAUCUCCAAACGAGAGGCUUCUCCUGCCAGCUCUGCCAGGGCAUCCCAUGUACAGAGAUCCCACAGUGGAGAGCUGCCUUCAGAAAGCUUCACCCCAAGGAUGUGUAACUUGAUGCAGUAUUGACCAGACAUAUUUAGGAGGAGAAAACAGGAUUUGCUUCUUACCUAAAAGAAAAUAUAGCUGCCCAUUCAACAAGAAAUGAAUCCUGAAUCCUGGUCUCUCUGGAAAACCAAACCAACCAAAUCAGCCUCCUGCUUUUCAUUUACAUUCCAUUAAGGCUUGUUAACUUAACCUCAGCUCCCAGAGCUCUGGAGCAUUCUAUAGGUCGGACUGAGUGCUUUGUUAACUACCUUGAUGAACCAAUCAAGGCUUGGCUAAGUCAGAGAAGAAGCAGACAAACCCUGGGAGACAUCUGUACAAGAAAAGGCAUAAUCUGGACGCUGAGCUUUGAAGGCAAGCUAUAUAAUGAGAGCUGACUGUAUCUCAAAAUCCAUGUUAGCUUGAAUGAACUUAUGUAAUAAACAUUUAUCACAGAACAUAUGUCACUGAGCACCUGCCAGACUUCAGGAGUGGAGCCAACACAGCUUGAAUCGUAUAUGUAUUGGGAGAAAAAAAAAAAAGAAGAAAAAAAAAAAGGAACUUGGCGGCAGGAGGCUGGCAGACGCUUUUACUAGAAAAAUCAGAAGUGAUUUUGAGAGGAGCAGAAAUUUCCUGAAACCUCUUUCUCUCUGUAUAGGAAUUUCACACUUGGAAAAAACGAGAGGCAGAUUCGCCUGCAUGAGGUUGGGGUGAGCUGGCAAGCUUCUUGUUUAACCCUACAUUUCCUCCAAGACAUCCUCACACCUCCGUGUCCCCACAUCCCCAUGUCCACACCAUCCUGGGUUCCUGGCUCACACUGCUGCCCACAGGCAGGUUGAGCUGAGAUUUACCAGUUAGACUGUCCAGACUAUACCUGAGUAAAUCAAAGUUGCCUUACCUCCUGUUAACUAACCUGACCACUUACAGAACUGGUAUUAUCAUUAUGUCCAAGCACUAUGGGAUGCUUCUGUGCUUUUAUCAUUGCUUUUCCCUGAAGCUAUAAACGAGAAACUAAGCCUUGAGAAUGACAAACAGCUGAUCCUCAAUUGACCCUUUGGACUGCUGACCCUAAUGGCAGUGUCUGGGGACUUGACACCUCACUGCUCACUAAUCAGCUGCUCUGUGUGUGGGCUACAGCCACAGGCAAGCAAGUGGCCAGGGGCAUCUUCUGCAGGGAGCUGCUGGUCAUGGAGAGCUGCUGCAGGGCAGGCACAGAUCUGGAAGCACCCUGUGAAGAAGAUCCAAAUCACUCUUCCUCAGGUCCCAUUGGAGAAACUGAAGCACGAAGCACUGAAGAGAUGCUUCUCACAGCACUGGGAGAGUGUCCAGGCUCAAAGCCAGCUGUUCCAGUCCCAGCCUAACAUACCCAACAUUGCCUGUGCCUCUCCCUGGAAGGGGGGAUGAGAUUUAGUAUGGACAGGAGAUCUCUAUAUAUGUGUUUGUGUGUCUUUGUGUACAGUACAGGGGUUUUACUGAGAAAAGGCUACUUAACAAAAUAACAAAGUGGAAAUCAAUUCUGUCUUCAUCUGGGAAAGCAG